AGCCCUUAUACUUAUUGAAGGUGCCGCCUGCCCAAUGACUUUAAGCCCAAAACAUUUAAAUAACAUCGAUUAAAUAAAAACCAGGUUGAAUGGCUGCAGUAACUAUAACUGUAUGAAUGUAGCAUAAUCACUCGCCACUUAAUUGGUGGAUAGUAUGAAUGGCUAAACGAAAAUCUCACUGUCUUAUAAAAUUAUAAAAAAAUUAAAUUAAUAGUUAAGAUGCUAUUUAAAAUUGUAAGACGAAAAGACCCUAUAAAGCUUAACUAUAACUUUUCUUUAAUAUAUUAAAACAAUAAAUCCAUUGAAAAGUAGGUAGUUUCAUUGGGGCGAUGGUCUCUAAAAAAAAACAGAGACGAACAAAGUAAUAAUUAAAAAACUUAUUGUUUAAUACAUACAUUUAACAGUUACAAAGUAGGUUAUCAUGACCCAUUAAAAACUACAAAAAAUUAUUUAAUGAUCAAGAGAUAAAAGCUACUUUAGGGAUAACAGGACAAUCUUGUCAAAGAGUCCGUAUCGAAGACAAGGUUUAUCACCUCGAUGUUGAAUUGAGAUCACCUAACGGUGCAGAAACCGUUGAAGGUAGGUCUGUUCGACCUUAAAAAUCUCA
rnacentral:rRNA from 1 species